rnacentral:rRNA from 2 species
AUCCUGGGGCUGUAGUCGGUCCCAAGGGUUGGGCUGUUCGCCCAUUAAAGCGGUACGCGAGCUGGGUUCAGAACGUCGUGAGACAGUUCGGUCCCUAUCCGUCGCGGGCGUAGGAAAUUUGAGAGGACCUGUCCUUAGUACGAGAGGACCGGGAUGGACAUACCGCUGGUGUACCAGUUGUUCCGCCAGGAGCACCGCUGGGUAGCUAUGUAUGGACGAGAUAAACGCUGAAAGCAUCUAAGUGUGAAACUCGCCUCGAGAUGAGAUUUCCCAUUUCCUUCGGGAAAGUAAGACCCCUCAGAGAUGAUGAGGUAGAUAGGAUGGAAGUGGAAGUGCCGUGAGGCAUGGAGCGGACCAUUACUAAUCGGUCGAGGACUUAACCAAG